rnacentral:rRNA from 1 species
AUACGGAGGGUGCAAGCGUUACUCGGAAUCACUGGGCGUAAAGCGCGCGCAGGCGGCUAUUUAAGUGGGAUGUGAAAGCCUAUGGCUCAACCAUAGAACUGCAUCCAAAACUAUUUAGCUAGAGUGUGGGAGAGGAAGAUGGAAUUAGUUGUGUAGGGGUAAAAUCCGUAGAGAUAACUAGGAAUACUAAAAGCGAAGGCAAUCUUCUGGAACACUACUGACGCUGAGGCGCGAAAGCGUGGGGAGCAAACAGGAUUAGAAACCCUAGUAGUCC